rnacentral:rRNA from 1 species
CAGUAGCCGCGGUAAAACCGAGGGUGCAAGCGUUAAUCGGAAUUACUGGGCGUAAAGCGCGCGUAGGUGGUUUGUUAAGUUGGAUGUGAAAGCCCCGGGCUCAACCUGGGAACUGCAUCCAAAACUGGCAAGCUAGAGUACGGUAGAGGGUGGUGGAAUUUCCUGUGUAGCGGUGAAAUGCGUAGAUAUAGGAAGGAACACCAGUGGCGAAGGCGACCACCUGGACUGAUACUGACACUGAGGUGCGAAAGCGUGGGGAGCAAACAGGAUUAGAGACCCCGGUAGUCCCUGUCUCUUAUAC